rnacentral:rRNA from 1 species
GGGAGGCAGCAGUGGGGAAUUUUGGACAAUGGACGCAAGUCUGAUCCAGCAAUGCCGCGUGCAGGAAGAAGGCCUUCGGGUUGUAAACUGCUUUUGUCAGGGAAGAAAUCUUCUGGGUUAAUACCUCGGAAGGAUGACGGUACCUGAAGAAUAAGCACCGGCUAACUACGUGCCAGCAGCCG